UACGUAGGCAGCGAGCGUUGUUCGGAGUUACUGGGCGUAAAGGGCUCGUAGGCGGCCAACUAAGUCGGACGUGAAAUCCCUCGGCUUAACCGGGGAACUGCGUCCGAUACUGGAUGGCUUGAGUAUGGGAGAGGGAUGCGGAAUUCCAGGUGUAGCGGUGAAAUGCGUAGAUAUCUGGAGGAACACCGGUGGCGAAGGCGGCAUCCUGGACCAUUACUGACGCUGAGGAGCGAAAGCCAGGGGAGCAAACGGG
rnacentral:rRNA from 1 species